UAGACAUACUUUUCAUGGGAACUUUUUUUGCACGACCUACUGAUUUAUUAUCCUUUGCCAAUGUCAAUCCUGAUGCUGGAUUUGCAGUACAAAUGUCCAUUGAAGAAAGUCUUGCUGACACAUCCUUGGUUUGUUUUCAAGCAGCUCUUUUGUAUACCUCCAGCAAAGGUGAAUGUCGAAUUCGUGUGCACACACUUUGCUUGCCUGGGGUAAAUUGGUUGGCUGAUGUAUAUGCAGGAGCAGAUGUACAAGCAGUUGUAUGCCUCUUAGCAAACAUGGCAGUGGAUCGCUCAGUUUCAUGUGGUAUUUCAGAUGCAAGAGAUGCCUUAGUUAAUGCUGUGGUA